rnacentral:rRNA from 1 species
AGUGAACGCUGGCGGCGUGCCUAACACAUGCAAGUCGAACGAUGAUGGAGAGCUUGCUCCCCUGAUUAGUGGCGCACGGGUGAGUAUACCAUAGAUAAUGUACCCCUUAGUUCGGGAUAGCCACUGGAAACGGUGAUUAAUACCGGAUACUCCUUCUCAUUAUAAGAUGAGUCGGGAAAGUUUUUUCGCUAAGGGAUCAGUCUAUGUCCUAUCAGCUAGUUGGUGAGGUAAUGGCUCACCAAGGCUAUGACGGGUAUCUGGUUUGAGAGGAUGAUCAGACACACUGGAACUGAGACACGGUCCAGACUCCUACGGGAGGCAGCAGUGAGGAAUAUUGCACAAUGGAGGAAACUCUGAUGCAGCAACGCCGCGUGGAGGAUGACGCAUUUCGGUGUGUAAACUCCUUUUAAGAGGGAAGAUUAUGACGGUACCUCUUGAAUAAGCACCGGCUAACUCCGUGCCAGCCGCCGCAGUAA